rnacentral:lncRNA from 1 species
UCUUUGGCUUGGAUCUGGACUUCUUCAAGAUCUAGAAGGAGAUGAUCCCUGUGUGAACUCUUUCAUGCUGAGUCGAGGGAGAUAGCUUCUAGGAUGCCAAGAAGGGAUGAGAAUCUUUCUCUUCCCUUCUUCUUCUCUCUCUAAUGUCUCUCUCUCUAAUCUGAUUUGAGGAGGAGGUGGGGUGUGAAGAGGAAGAAGGGAGAACGGCAUGGAGAUUAAGUCUUGCGGCA